rnacentral:rRNA from 1 species
UGACCAAAGGGGGCGAGCGUAAGCAGCUCUCACCAAAGGAGGAGCCUGCGUCCGAUUAGCUAGUUGGUGGGGUAACGGCCUACCAAGGCGACGAUCGGUAGCCGGCCUGAGAGGGCGACCGGCCACACUGGAACUGAGACACGGUCCAGACUCCUACGGGAGGCAGCAGUGGGGAAUAUUGCGCAAUGGGCGAAAGCCUGACGCAGCGACGCCGCGUGGGUGAUGAAGGCCUUCGGGUCGUAAAGCCCUGUCAGGUGGAACGAAUGACUUGGCGGCGAAUAACCGCCGGGUGUGACGGUACCACCGAAGGAAGCCCCGGCUAACUACGUGCCAGCAGCCGCGGUAAGACGUAGGGGGCGAGCGUUGUUCGGAUUUACUGGGCGUAAAGCGCGCGUAGGCGGCUAGAUAAGUCGGGUGUGAAAGCCCUCGGCUCAACCGAGGUCCCGCAUCCGAUACUGCCUGGCUGGAGUCUAGGAGAGGAAAGCGGAAUUCCCAGUGUAGCGGUGAAAUGCGUAGAUAUUGGGAGGAACACCGGUGGCGAAGGCGGCUUUCCGGACUAGCACUGACGCUGAGGCGCGAAAGCUAGGGGAGCGAACGGGAUUAGAUACCCCGGUAGUCCUAGCCGUAAACGAUGGGUACUAGGUGUGGGAGGUAUUGACCCCUUCCGCGCCGAAGCUAACGCAUUAAGUACCCCGCCUGGGGAGUACGGCCGCAAGGCUAAAACUCAAAGGAAUUGACGGGGGCCCGCACAAGCGGUGGAGCAUGUGGUUUAAUUCGACGCAACGCGAAGAACCUUACCAGGGCUUGACAUCCCACGAACCUACCCGAAAAGGUGGGGUGCCCGCAAGGGAGCGUGGAGA